rnacentral:rRNA from 1 species
UACGUAGGGUGCAAGCGUUAAUCGGAAUUACUGGGCGUAAAGCGUGCGCAGGCGGUUGUGCAAGACCGAUGUGAAAUCCCCGGGCUUAACCUGGGAAUGGCAUUGGUGACUGCACGGCUAGAGUGUGUCAGAGGGGGUAGAAUUCCACGUGUAGCAGUGAAAUGCGUAGAGAUGUGGAGGAAUACCGAUGGCGAAGGCAGCCCCCUGGGAUAA